rnacentral:tRNA from 1 species
GUCCUCGUAGUUUAGUUGGAUAGAACGUCAGAUUCCGGAUCUGAAGGUCGGGGGUUCAAAUCCCUUCGAGGACGCCA